rnacentral:lncRNA from 1 species
ACUAUUGGGGCGCCUUCAGCAGAAAAUGAAGAAUAACAGCCACUCCAAUUUGGCAUUCCAAAGCAUAAAUAAGCCAUGUCAAACGGUGUACAUAAUCAAAAUCAACAAUCUAGAAGGAGAAGUUUAUCAGAGAGGGGAGACCUCAUCGGGCGAGCCAAAAGGCUAAGGCAAAAUGAAGAACAGAGCCAUCCACACACCCUCCCAUUCAAAAAUGGCUCAAUUGAGCAAGGAAAAUAGAGCAACUCGCUAGAUUCUAGCCUCUAUGUGACUAAGCCAAGGAGGAACAAGAUAGCAAGGGUAAGAGAGAACCAAAGUGUUCA